UCUCUUUUCAGACCCCAGCCGGGGUUCAUUGAUGGACUUGACAGCCCUACGAAAUGUGCAGCCAAACAGGGCAUGCUGGAUGCAUCCACAAAGCAGUGACCAAAUUAAGAUGAUAAAAAAUGCUUUAAAUGAAAAGGAAUCACAACAACAAUUUUUGGCUCAAGUAGGAGCAACAAUUCUGGACAGAUCAGAUUUUAUUACCUUGGGCCAUCCAAAUGAUGUUGAAGGGACUAUUUUGAAUGCCUGCCUCUCAGUUGUCAGGGAUAUUGCUGACUUAAAGAACAUAAAGGUCCAUUGUUUUAGCUCAUAUGUGACAGUGACAUGGUUGCCACCAUUCUGUGCAGACCCUUCAGCUAACUUACCUGAACAUAUAGCAAGAUGUGACUUCAUCUUACUGCCUUCAUGGGCUACAAACCAUUGGAUGAUAUGUGUAAGUAUUUUAUGUUUAAAUGAUCAGUUCUCCUUAAUGCAAGUAACACAGAGAUAUUUUGACAUAACUAAUAAUUGUAUCUUCCAAGAAUCACUUAAUAGAACCAGUUUUACAGAUCAUGAAACCAAAAAGCAGAGAGAUGUAUUUGCUUGAUUCACUGUACGGCACUGACUUCAGCGAUU